rnacentral:rRNA from 1 species
GAUGAACGCUGGCGGCGUGCCUAAUACAUGCAAGUCGAGCGAAUGGAUUAAGAGCUUGCUCUUAUGAAGUUAGCGGCGGACGGGUGAGUAACACGUGGGUAACCUGCCCAUAAGACUGGGAUAACUCCGGGAAACCGGGGCUAAUACCGGAUAACAUUUUGAACCGCAUGGUUCGAAAUUGAAAGGCGGCUUCGGCUGUCACUUAUGGAUGGACCCGCGUGGCAUUAGCUAGUUGGUGAGGUAACGGCGCACCAAGGCAACGAUGCGUAGCCGACCUGAGAGGGGGAUCGGCCACACUGGGACUGAGACACGGCCCAGACUCCUACGGGAGGCAGCAGUAGGGAAUCUUCCGCAAUGGACGAAAGUCUGACGGGGCAACGCCGCGUGAGUGAUGAAGGCUUUCGGGUCGUAAAACUCUGUUGUUAGGGAAGAACAAGUGCUAGUUGAAUAAGCUGGCACCUUGACGGUACCUAACCAGAAAGCCACGGCUAACUACGUGCCAGCAGCCGCCGUAA